UGCCAGCARCCGCGGUAAUACGUAGGGUGCGAGCGUUGUCCGGAAUUACUGGGCGUAAAGAGCUCGUAGGUGGUUUGUCGCGUCGUCUGUGAAAUUCCGGGGCUUAACUUCGGGCGUGCAGGCGAUACGGGCAUAACUUGAGUGCUGUAGGGGAGACUGGAAUUCCUGGUGUAGCGGUGWAAUGCGCAGAUAUCAGGAGCCACACCGAUGGCGAAGGCAGGUCUCUGGGCAGUUACUAACRCUGAGGAGCGAAAGCAUGGGUAGCAAACAGGAUUAGACACCCUGG
rnacentral:rRNA from 1 species